rnacentral:lncRNA from 1 species
GCAAUUCCAUUCACUUCUUCACACGCCAACAACAAGAGAGAGAGAUCAUUCAAGUUUCUGCUUAAACUUAAGCAAAUCCCCACUGAACUAAAGAAAAAUACAUCAGCCAACCAAGCACAAAAUACACAAGGUAUUUACUAUCUCAGUUUUUAAUUCAUGUUACAUGCUCAUACCCAUCAAACACGUUUCAGUUGUAUAGAAAAAUAGCAAGUUAGAAUAACAGAGGACCUUUAUAUAUGCUAUUGGCUAAGCUUAGCAACAUUAUACUUUACAUCAGGAUAGAACAAAUCAUGGAAUGCUUUAAAGAGGUAGAAUAUUACUAACGGGCAGUUUACUUGCUCGAGAAAAAAACAAUAUGCUUAGAUACUUCACUAUGAUCUGUGUGUGUGGUGAUUCUAUGAGAACUCCCUGCACUAGUCUAACUUAGCAUUAAAAAAAAGGGGAGGUAGAGAGGUUGAACUUAGCUUUAAGAAAGGAGGAGAACGAGUCGGACUCCGGGGAAGGGCAGCUCCAACGAGCCGGCCGCUGUCGGCAGAAGCUACCUGUCGUCCCUCGUCAACUCUGGAACAACAACGACGCCGGCGGAUCCAAGAGAGACCGCGGCCGCCGAGACUCCAGUUGACGACGGCGGCGGUGGCUCUGAGCGAGGCGGGCUGCUGGAGAUCAGACCAGCGACCUCGAUUCCGGGCAAAGCAGCUGCAACUCCGGGCGGCGGCGUUACCUCAGCAGCGGCGACGUCCGGCGAUAGAGCUUCCAGGCGUGUCGGCGGACGGCGGCGGUUGCACCAGAUCUUCGCUGGUCUUCCAGAGGCGGCGGCGUUACCUCAGCAGCGGCGACGUCCGGCGAUAGAGCUUCCAGGCGUGUCGGCGGACGGCGGCGGUUGCACCAGAUCUUCGCUGGUCUUCCAGAGGCGGCGGCGUCGAACCGUGAUGAGAUGAGAGAAGAAGGCAGCGAUUCUUGAGAGGGGCGGGUGGCCGAGGACGGCACCCUCAGCCGGACACGGCCUCGCCGGGGCCGGUCGCGGCGGAGAGAGAGGCCGAGGACGGCCUGGAGCGUGCAGACGCGAGGAGAGAAUUUGAAGAGAAAGAGAGAGAGAAAUGGCUGAGACCAAUUUUGAGAAAUUGGGAGAGAAUCGAGUGGGUGAGGUAGGAGAAGGAAUUAGGAGUUUUAAAAUGUGUGGGCUUGUGUUGGGCCAUCUGAUUUUUUUCCCUUUGGGCCGAAAAUUGGGCCUUCAUUUUAAUUAUGUGGGCUGCAGAUCUAAAUUGAUAAUGGGCUGUAUUUAAUUAGUUUGGGCUAGAGUUAAUUUUUAUUUGGACUGCCAUUAUUAUUUUUGGCUUAAAAUCAGGCCCAAUUUAAGGGUAGUCUAGAUUAAUCUAUUAAUUAAAUUGAGCUAAUUCUAAUUAUUGAUUAAUUUAGAAUGAGGCUAUUAAUUAGUAAGUGAGUUAGAAUACUCUAAGAUGAGCGGAUUAAUUAUUUAUCCACCCUCAUGAGACGAUCCUCAAUUAGUUAAUUUUAUUUAUUUUAAUCUGACAAUUAGGAUUUAUAAUAGAAUCUCCCAUAUUAUUAUCUCAGAAUAAUAAUUAUCGGAAUACGAGUCAUGCAUAGUUAAAUUACGCAUUCUCAUUAAUUGAGGAUUUUAUUCGAGCAAAUAUCUUACUUUAUAUCAUCGCAAUAAAGGUGAACCGCGAGAGUAAUAAUAGCCAGUCAAGGAGCUACUUUACCAAAGCAAAAGUUGCUAUCAGGUGGGCAUUACUUUUACUAUACGUAUAUAGAGAUCCCCUGCGUGUCGUAGGCCUCUUAUACGAAUGAAUGCAUGAGAUGAUUUAACUGUUAAUUUCAGUUUUAUAUAUCUAUCAAACGAGUUUAAUGCUACCUUUGAGCAAGUUAUUUCAUGACAAAAUCUUUGAGUUAAAGUUAUUUCAAGUAUUGUCUUGCCAUAAAAUGUUUAAAUUUUAGUAUGAUAUCUAUCUGCUUUGGCUUUGCCAAUGAUGCAAUCGAAUUCGGGUCCUGAGCAGUUGAUAGCUAUCCUGCCAGGACUAGUGUACACCAGUGACCGUGAGUCAUCUAGCGGGUUGGCCGGUCAAGUGACCGUGAGAGGUGGCCACCUCUCCGGCACAAAGUUUCAGAUAUGAUAGAUUACAAAAGAACUUAGUCUGAUCAGACGAACUUUAAGAAUCACAAAUGAACUUAGUAAGCUUGGGCCUUUUUAGCGAAAAACUCCCUUGCUGUACUGUUUAUGAUGGCAUGACAAUUUACAGUUUUGAAGCAUGUAUUUUUAUACCUAGGCAUACGUGCCCACUGAGUGCUUUUGUACUCAGCCCUGCAUAUGUUUUCUAAAUGUGCAGGUUGAGCUGAUGUGAUGAUGGUGCUGCAAUGAGCGGAGUCUCCAGGGUUGUUAAUAAAUAGUUAACCUGUCUAGAAUAUGUCUUCAUACAUAUGUCUAGCUACUUUCCGCUGCAAGAUGUUGUUGAU